rnacentral:rRNA from 1 species
AUGUUGAGGAGCCUGAAGUUGGAUGGAUGCCUUGGAGAGAUUCCUGGCUGGGUUGGCAAUCUGAUGCAUUUGGUCAAGCUUUACUUAUGGCGCAGCAAAAUAAAGGAAGAAGGUAAAAUCAUGGAAAUAUUAGGGACACUUCCCAACCUCAUGCAACUUCGUCUUGAACAUGGCUCUUAUAUUGGGGAGAAGUUGGCGUUCAAAACGAGAGCAUUCCCAAAUCUCAAGAAGUUUGGUAUUUAUGCUCUGGCGGAACUGAGAGAGGUGAGAUUUGAGGAUGGCACCUCACCCCAGCUGGCAAUGAUAGAUAUCAGUUGGUGCAAUUUGGCAUCAGGAAUUAUUGGAGUCAACCAGCUUCCAAAGCUCAAGCAGAUCUCACUUGGUUCCUAUGGUCGAGUGGCAAAGCUUGCUAUGCUUCAUCCCAUUGUCGACAGUUACAAGAUGGGACCCGACUUCAACAGAGGCUAG